rnacentral:rRNA from 1 species
GACGAACCGAGCGAACGUUGUUCGGAAUUACUGGGCGUAAAGGGCGCGUAGGCGGCCUUCUAAGUCGGACGUGAAAUCCCUCGGCUCAACCGAGGAACUGCGUCCGAUACUGAAAGGCUUGAAUCCGGGAGAGGGAUGUGGAAUUCCAGGUGUAGCGGUGAAAUGCGUAGAUAUCUGGAGGAACACCGGUGGCGAAGGCGGCAUCCUGGACCGGCAUUGACGCUGAGGCGCGAAAGCUAGGGGAGCAAACGGG